rnacentral:rRNA from 1 species
UACGAAGGGGGCGAGCGUUGUUCGGAUUUACUGGGCGUAAAGGGCGCGCAGGCGGCAGACCAAGUCAGGCGUGAAAGCCCCGGGCUUAACCUGGGAGGUGCGUCUGGGACUGGUAUGCUAGAGUUCGGGGAGAGGAGAGUGGAAUUCCCAGUGUAGAGGUGAAAUUCGUAGAUAUUGGGAAGAACACCGGUGGCGAAGGCGGCUCUCUGGACCGAGACUGACGCUGAGGCGCGAAAGCGUGGGGAGCAAACAGG